UCUCCCUCUCGCCACCCCCUAUUUUGAAGAGAAAGAGGAAGAGAGAGUCGCUCCUUCGUACCUCUCUCUUCUCUUUUCUCUCUCUCAUCUCUCCCUUCCUUUUUCUCUGUUCUUUCUCUAAUUGGAUCUAGGGAUCCAUGGAAGAUGAAGUAGGGGAUUUGAUAUUAAACUCUUGGUGAAUCCCAGUAAAAGGAUUUAGAUAAAUAAUUUACACCUUAUGAUUUUCUUUUAAUAUUGAGAUUUGUUCUAUAAAAAAAUAAUUUUUUGAGUACCAAAAUGCCGAUCAAAUUUCUUUACACCCAGUUUAUAGAUCA
rnacentral:lncRNA from 1 species